rnacentral:tRNA from 1 species
GGGCGAAUGGCGGAACUGGUAGACGCGCUAGACUCAAAAUCUUGUGGUAGCAAUACCGUGAGGGUUCAAGUCCCUCUUCGCCCACCA